CGAUAACAUUGGUUUCUAAGGGUCGGCCACAUUAAAAACUAGCCAAAAAAUAAAUAAAUAAAUAACAAGUAAAUAAGCCUGGCUUAUUACGUAUCCGUCUCUCCCAUGCGAUCAUUGCAGCGCCAUGGAUCUGGUGGACAUUGAUCAGGUCUUGGAUAACCUGGAAUUACGCAUUGCCGCCGACGAGCAGGAGAGCAGGAAUGCAGCAGCAGCGGCAGCAGCAGCAGCAUCAGCUGCAGCAGCGGCGUCAGUGGCAGCUGCAACGGUAGACUCUACGCCCACGCGCCCACUAGGAGACGGAGCCAGUGCUUCCAAUGAGGGUGGAACAGCUGUUCGUCGGAAAACUACAUCUGGACACCGGCGUCUUCAGGAUUCUGGCGUUUGGUGCGAUGGAAAGACCGACAAGGUCGCGUGUGCCGUGGGGAAUGGGGCCUGCUUCACCUCUGCCUGUACCGGCAGUCGGGGUCGCCUGCCUGGAUGGCAGCAGUCGGCGCGUACUCUUGUGGAAGAAGGUGGAGAAGCCGCGUACCCUGGUCUUCGAGCCGCGUCGCGGCUACAUAUACUGGACAGAGUCGCCCUCGGACUCCAUACGCCGCGCCACGAUGGACGGAUCCGAGCUGCAAUCAUGGCCGGGAGCUCAUAUUCGACCAGGAGACGAGACGCCUCUACUGGAUGGCAAGAAGCGUCGGAUACUGGUUGCCAGCUAGGACUACGUGUACUGGAGCGACUGGAGCACCGCAGACAUUUAUCAAGACGGGCCAGCCGCAGCCGCAGCCUCGCCAAAAACGUGCCCUGCAUCCCCCCCAGCUACGACAGACUGCCCAAAUGUGCCGCUGCCGGUGUCCUGGCAUGUCCAUGAAAGCGAGGCGUCUGCUCUUCUCGACAGAUGUCGGCAGCCAUCAGGCCAUCAUUCGGGCCCGAGUCGAUGGCAAUGAGCGUGUGGAGCUGGAAGGAGUCACGGCGCUGGCCCUGGACUAACAUAUACCAUGCGUAUCGAAGUUAUAGACAUCGAUGGAAAGAACAAGUAAUCAACAUUGCCGCCUUGGGGUGAGGAAUGGACACAUUCGCGGCUAAUGAUGGUGGUGGCAGGACUGGGAGGACUGGCGCGUGGACCCGUUGAGUGCAGCGGUAGUGCGGCUCUUUCCAUUAAAGUAAUUGACAGAGAUUUCUCCACAAUGGCGGGUCAAAACUUGCUGCCCCGUCCCCGGGGUCGACUUAGGCAAGUGUUUGCGUUCCCAGGUAAACACUUGGGUGAUUGGAGGAUAUUUCCACAGCACUGGACGAACCAUGAGGCAGCUGCUGAUUCUGCUGAGGACGCUCCUCGUCCACGGAUUCGUGGCCCUGUUCACCGUGCUCACCCGCGUGCUCCAGGCAGCCCUCAAUCUGUGGCAUUCGCUGGCCCUCUAAUCAUCUAAUGGUCAGUGGAAGGAGACGCCAAAAAAUGAUUGCCCACCCUGGGUGCCUGGUGCCGAUAAGGGCUGUCCGCCUACCUGCCGUUCAAUGUGUGUUUUCUCCACUUAUCGGCAAAGCAAUCAAUACUAAUUACCUUAUCGCCCUCGCACCUCGUCCGCGGGCGCGGUCGUCAGAAGGUAGGGGAAUGACGAUAAUCGCGGUGGAGGAAGGCCUCGCAUUAUCUGAAGACCAGCUAAUGCGAAUUGCCAAUGGCUGCUCGUUCAGGUCGGUUCUACAAUGGGUGUCGGCGCCCGACCCAGCUGCUGUUGCUGCUUUUGUUGGCUGUCUUCCUCCUGGGCACUCUGCUAGUGCUGUACAAGCUCAACCACUCGCCGUUGAUCCACCAGUAUGACAUUAUGCAGGAGUACCUGGAGAGCAACCCCCAGAAGAGCUCUCGAACGCGCUCUAUUCUGCUGUGGAGCAACUUCUUCGGGGAUCCGCGUUGGGGCUUGCCAGCGGACUCGCUGGGGCCGCAGGAGCUGCGCGAGGACCUGCACUGUCCCGUGUAUCAGUGCGAGGUGACCAACAGCCAUGACUUCCUGCCCGCUCUGGAUCUGUACGACGCCAUUGUGUUCCACAUGGCCGAGCAUUUCCCCUUUCUGCAGCCAAUGCCCGCGAGCCGCAGUCCGCACCAGGCCUAUGUGUUCGCCCUGAUGGAGUCGGCUGGCGAGACCAAGCACCGGCUGAGCGACGAGCGGGAUUUCUAUAACCUCACCAUGACCAAUCGCCUUGACUCGGACGUGGUGUGGCCCUAUGGCCAGCUGCAGGACAUGGAAACGGGUGCCGUGGUGGCCCCCAGUGCCCAGCCCCACUGGCGCCAGCCGCCCACAAAAGGUACCUGGAAUGACACCCGGGCAGAGGGACUGUGGCAGAGCAAGACCAAGAUGGCAGCGUGGUUCGUGUCCCACUGCCAGACGCUGUCUCGGCGCGAGAACCUCACGGCGGCCCUGCAGGAGCAUUUCGAGGUGGACGUAUACGGCAAGUGCGGACCCCUUAGCUGUGACCGCGGCGACCCGCACUGCGAUGAGAUGCUGGACACGGACUACAUGUUCUAUCUGGCCUUUGAGAACUCGCUGUGCGAGGACUAUGUGACGGAGAAGCUCUUUGGGGUGCUGGAGCGCCACAUCAUACCCGUGGUGUUUGGCGGGGCCGAUUACACGCGCUUCCUGCCACCGCACUCCUACAUCGACGCGAAUCGCUUCGACAGCGCCCUCGAGCUGGCCGAGCACAUGCGUUUCGUGGCCGGCGAUUUGGAGGAGUACACGAGCUACUUCUGGUGGCGCCAGCACUACCGCCUGGUCACCGUCUCCCCCUUCUGCGACCUUUGCGCCCGUUUGCACUCGUCCGCUCAGCGACAUAGGUCCCAGGUGUACGGCGACAUCGAGUCCUGGUGGUUCAACAGCUGCCGGUUCAAGGCAAACAUCCGGUUUUGAGGGCGACGCACGAAAAGGAACAGGACGGCGCUAUGCGACAGCCGCACGCGAGAAAGCGGGAUAGCAGGCAUGCGACUGUUUGCAUACGAUAUGGGAAACUUUUUCUUGUGUCUCCUGCUCCAACCGUCAUGGCCGUGCCCACCUACCAAAAUUUGUGUGACAAAACUCGAAGCCCCGGCCCGAAAGAUAUGCGGGGAGCCGGCUACGACUACGAUUUGACAUUACCACCGUCCAAUGCAGCACUGACUCAUCCACAAUCGCAGCUACAACCCAUCCAAAAGCGUCAGAUUAUCGCCAUUAUGAGCCUCUAGGGGCGAUAAGAGUACACACACUUACACAUACACGUAAGAGCGCACACACACGCACCUUUGUGUAAGUUUCAUUUGUUUCGAUUUCUAUGUAGACCAUCAUUAUUUCUUCCAAUUUCCAGCUGUACCCCUCUCCUGUAUUACUAUUUUGAUAAUUAGUUGAGCUUAGUCAGUAAGGAUAAUCUAUAGAACAACUAAAAUUAGUAGCUCCAUAUGUUUGUCAUAUGCGUGCCAGUUUGUGGUGGAAUUUUAGGGUAACUCUCUGAUGUUUCUAACUUAUUUUAUAACUAUUUUAUGUUCUUGCUUUGGCAGAUUUUUCAUAGAUUAAGGGUUUUUAAUGCCCGUAAUCUGAUGUUGAUUGUUGUUUAGCGGGCCCUAAAUGUUCAUUAAACCAUUCUAAGACCUUUUUAAAGAUGAUUUUUAAGCAAGUGAAGGACUGCAACUAAAGCAUUAAAUUUUUCUUGACCCUUCCAUUCUUUUUCCCUUUAUUAAUUUGUUCUUGCGAUCAAGUUUUAGCUGAAAGUAUUUUCUAUGGAAUCAGGUAGUUCUUUCAUAUUUCUAUUUAUUAUUAUUUAUUUUUACGCAUUCAGGGGCUCAAGUUGGAAGCAUUUUGUAUACCAAAUGUCUGAUAAAUCUGUUCAAAAUAUUCCGAUUCAUAUCAGUUUUUAUUUUACUUUUAAAUCGUUAAGACGUCUUCAGUUUGGGGGUUCCUGAUAAUACGGAUGCUCUCCUAGGCGGGUCUGCCUCACGCAGAAGCAUCUUCUAUUGGCUAUAGUUUCCGUUAAUAAUUCGGUAGGGUGUGAGAUGUGCUUCAUGCAAUGGAUUCUGCCGAGAAUGCAUGGGAUCGCAUGCGGGUAGCCUGCAUGCACUGGAAGUCCGAAUUUGCAUUUUUUUAAGUGUUCGAAAGCAUUUGAGAAAUUUAAUUCCAUUUAAGCGCUUAAAUUGUGAGGAUUUUUGUUUCCUGUGGACGUACUAAUUGGGAUUUAGUCUAGUGUCUAUGGUUAUAGUUAAUCAUUAGCAAGAUCUGCUUCACUAUCAUUCGAUUACACAUACCUGUCAUGAUCCUCCAUAUGGCUAUAAAUAAUAAUUGCUUAAGUUUUGGCAAAAAAAUGAACAAAACUCACGGGCAUGCGAUUUGGCUUACCUCAGCAGUCGGGAGGCUCUCCCGUUCUUUUUUCUUGGGAGCCUUAUUAUCUUCGUCCUUGUCGCCUUCCCGCUUCCUCUUUCUUUCCAUAAUGGUAUCAAAAUAUACUUGCAGUAGAUAUAUAGACAUUUAUUGGAGAAUACUCGUAGUCGCGCGUCGCAGCUGUUCUUGGGAUAGGAUGGGAUGCUGUCGAUGGCGAUUUCAGAAUGGACAUAUAUGUAUAUUUAAUGGAUUAUCUUUUCUAACUUUAUAAUUAGAAAGUCAGAGCUCGGUCACAAAUCUAGGCCACCUUCUGAUAUAUUAAAGUUUUCCAAUUUGAUUGGUAUUUAUCAUCGUUAUAGAAUUUAAGAUGCCUGCAAAGCAUUCUGAGAUAGGGUUCUUGAGACUCAGAGCCCUCGUUUCGAACGUUUGGCGCUUCUCCAGGGCUGCGCACUUGGGGAGGCGCACGCGUCGCGAUAUUCGUGCGUCGUGCGUCGUGCGUCGUGCCUCGUGUAUUCCAAAUGUCAAGUGUCAAACGAUGACGUCUCUGACGGACGGAAGCUGCUAUUGUUUCUUAUUGUUUUCCUUCGGUGAAGCUUUUUCGAAGCUUCUGGAGCUAUUCUGGAGAGCAACAUAGAGUUCCUGCGGGAGAGGGACACACACCCCCACGUCAGCUGUGGGCUCCGCUGUGUAUAUGUGUGUGUGUGCUUUUGGGGCGCUUUCGCGUAGAAGCUUUUUUGGGCCGCAGCUUUUUGAAGGAUACUGUGUGUGGCACGGCACUGCUCUGCUCUGCUCUGAAAGCACUUCCUAUGGAAAUUCAUGACAUUUAACUCAUUCUGUGCUAGAUUUCCCGAUAGUUCAAAUCAGAGGUAACACAAAUCGAGGAGAUUACGGCAGUAAAACCCCCAAGUAAAUAAGAAAGAGCCAGCAGACAACCAUAAACCAAAAACCAAACCAAACCAAACCAAAACCACGCUCAACGCUCAAUACCUCGGCCUAAAAAAUAUCCAGAACUAAAGUAAAUUCAAGAAAUUUCAUUGAUUUUCGGCAAGAAGUGUGUGUGCUGUGCCACGAGGAAACGAAUGUACGAACGCAAUUGUUUUUCCUGAAUUUCCCCCCUUCACCCAAUAAAGUGCGCAAGAGUGAGACUGUCCAAAUCACCACCACCACUACCACCUACCCAGUCAGUCCAUCAUUCAGUCCUACGUAGAAGCAAACCUCUAUCUCUGUCCAGUAUCCAGUAUCCAGUAAUCCAGUAUCCAGUCAUCCUUCUGAAGCUUCUGAAGCAGUUGUGGGA